rnacentral:rRNA from 1 species
GAUGAACGCUGGCGGCGUGCUUAACACAUGCAAGUCGAACGAUGAACCGGGUGCUUGCACUCGGGGAUUAGUGGCGAACGGGUGAGUAACACGUGAGCAACCUGCCCCUGACUCUGGGAUAAGCGCUGGAAACGGCGCCUAAUACUGGAUAUGUCCCGUCACCGCAUGGUGUGCGGGUGGAAAGAUUUUUCGGUUGGGGAUGGGCUCGCGGCCUAUCAGCUUGUUGGUGAGGUAAUGGCUCACCAAGGCGUCGACGGGUAGCCGGCCUGAGAGGGUGACCGGCCACACUGGGACUGGGCCACGGCCCAGACUCCUACGGGAGGCAGCAGUGGGGAAUAUUGCACAAUGGGCGGAAGCCUGAUGCAGCAACGCCGCGUGAGGGAUGACGGCCUUCGGGUUGUAAACCUCUUUUAGCAGGGAAGAAGCGAGAGUGACGGUACCUGCAGAAAAAGCACCGGCUAACUACGUGCCAGCCGCCGCAGUAA